CAACGAGUAUUCCGCAAUGGACGCAAGUCUGACGGAGCGACGCCGCGUGUGGGAGGAAGUCCCUCGGGAUGUAAACCACUGUCAGGGGUGAGGAAUUCAUUGACCAGCCCCAGAGGAAGCACCGGCUAACUCCGUGCCAGCAGCCGCGGUAAUACGGAGGGUGCAAGCGUUGUUCGGAUUUACUGGGCUUAAAGGGUGUGUAGGCGGGUCGUCAAGUGUCUGGUGAAAGCCCCGGGCUCAACCCGGGAACGGCUGGGCAUACUGACGGUCUUGAGGCAGGUAGAGGUCACUGGAACAACUGGUGGAGCGGUGAAAUGCGUAGAUAUCAGUUGGAACGCCGGAGGCGAAAGCGGGUGACUGGGCCUGUCCUGACGCUGAAACACGAAAGCGUGGGGAGCAAACGGGAUUAGAUACCCCGGUAGUCCACGCCGUAAACGAUGCGCACUGGGUAUGAUGGGUUUUGACGCCCGUCGUGCCGUAGCAAAAGUGCUAAGUGCGCCGCCUGGGGA
rnacentral:rRNA from 1 species